rnacentral:lncRNA from 1 species
CGGAAAUCGCCUCAUGGUGGUUUCGGUGGCCCAAACAACCCCAAAUUAACACCAGUGAUUCUCCUUCACCUCAUUAUCUCAAAUCCUUAAACUGUUCCUUUCGAAUCACGGCCGAAAUCGUCGAAUCUUCAAUCGAAAUUUGAACCCCGAACCCUAGUUUACCCAAUCGACCCCAAACUGACACCCCAUAACCUUCCUGACCUCCUUAUACCCAAUACAUAUCUGGUUUCCCUCUAAUUUGUCUAAAAUAGAUCGAAUUUCAAAUCUUGAGUUCUGAUUCUAAAAGUCAGAGUUAAACACAAGAAUUGUUGAUGAUUUCAAGGCCGAUUUUGUCGCAAAAUGGUGUUAAUCAUUUGUUCUAACAAAGAACGCUUGACUAACAUCAUUUGGCGAUGAAGUCGGAAAAAAUUCGAGUGCCAAAUGAACCUGUUGAGUUGGUGAGUAUCCAGUACUACUUCUUUUCUUUUCUUGUUAUUAUUCCACUUCUGCCCCGUCUUCUUCUUUUCUUAGGUUUGAAUUAGGCUUAAAAUUGUGAAUUGUCCAUUCGAUUGUCUUUGGUGCAUAUCCAUGUAUGUCGUUAAUUAAUUUAAUAGCGAUGUUGAUUUUUCAAACUAGUUAAAGGUUUUAGUCUUUUGUUUACUAUAAUUGUGGUACUUCGAAACUUAGGGAGGGAUGAAUAACAGAAGCCUUGAGGGUAAUUUGGGUAGGGAAACCUGUCAAUAAUUAAUUAGAGGGCUUCUCAAUAGUGGUAGGGUCUAGGAAAUGCACUACUGAAUUAAUUAUAAGCACUAAGUAGUGGAAUGAAUUAAAAAUGAAAAGGGGACUUGUAGUGGCUGGCUUAAUGCCCUUUUAGGAGGUGGAAAUCAGAGAACAUGGGUGAUGUAAUUAAAGACUAAAAAAUACAGGUGUAAAAGGGUAUACAGUCUGGAAAGGGAGGGGAACAGAAGAAAAAAGGACAGAAUACACCUUAAAAGGGGGAUACUCACUGAUAUAUAAGAAGCAAGGACUGACUUUGUGUAAAAAAAAAGUAGAGAGAUGCAGAGAUAGAGAGAGAUAAGCAUUAAGAUAUACACAGCAGUUGGAUAUUCUAAAAUAGGAGGGAGGGAGAUCCAAAUACUCUAAAAUACUAAGAGGAGAAAUUUCUGAAAAUACCAGGCAGCAGUAGAAACUAUUGUUUCAUUAAGUUAUCUUGGUGAUUUCUUAGAUUUCAAAUUCCUGAAAUGAAUCCUAGUUCACUAUUUCAUUGAUCUCUCUUGUUUUGAUUUUUUUUUCAAAUUUUCAAUCUGUCCAAUCUAGUUUAGUUCAUUCGAGUGUUAGAAGUGGAAUGGAUUUCGUUUUGAGUGGGAUGUGAAGUUUGCUGAACAAGUAGAUACUCUACGGGUUUCUGGGGUCGAUCUUGACACCUGGUGGUUAGAAUAUGAGGUUUAUCUGUUGUACUGUUGAUUGUUUGAGCUUGCUGAAUCUCAUUUCUUCAUUGUUUACCCUCUUUUCCAGGUAUACACUUCUAUUUCCACCUAAUGUAAAGCUUGGCUUGGAAUAUAUAAAAGAUGGAUUUAUGGAGCUUUGAGUAGGAGUUAUGUUGUGUUAGUUUACUUGUUUGUUUCUAUUUCAUUUUGGUAGUUUUGAUCGUUACCCCUCCACCCCUGAAUAUGUGAUCAAGAGAAUAAUUUUCUAAAUAUUGUAGAUUACAUGAUAGUUUGGAUGGGUAUCUCUUUUAGUUGAAGCCUUUUAAAUAUAUUCGGUUGGUUGCUUGUUUUUGCUUUAAGGUCUGGAUUUGAGCCUGGUUGAAUAUAGCUAACUCAAGAUCUUUUGGAUUGUUAAAUAUGUACUAGUUAAGGUUGUUCCAAUGUUUAUUUGUCG